AUUGAACGCUGGCGGCAUGCCUUACACAUGCAAGUCGAACGGUAACGGGCCUUCGGGUGCCGACGAGUGGCGAACGGGUGAGUAAUGUAUCGGAACGUACCUUUCAGUGGGGGAUAACGUAGCGAAAGUUACGCUAAUACCGCAAAUUUUGUGAGCAGGAAAGCAGGGGAUUGAAAGCCCUUGCGCUGAUGGGGCGGCUGAUAUCAGAUUAGCUAGUUGGUGAGGUAAAGGCUCACCAAGGCGACGAUCUGUAGCGGGUCUGAGAGGAUGAUCCGCCACACUGGAACUGAGACACGGUCCAGACUCCUACGGGAGGCAGCAGUGGGGAAUUUUGGACAAUGGGGGCAACCCUGAUCCAGCCAUGCCGCGUGAGUGAAGAAGGCCUUCGGGUUGUAAAGCUCUUUCGGCCGGGAAGAAAUCGUAUCAGCUAAUACCUGGUGCGGAUGACGGUACCGGCAUAAGAAGCACCGGCUAACUACGUGCCAGCCGCCGCAGUAAAAC
rnacentral:rRNA from 1 species